CAGAAUACAUGAUGAUCUCACCCCAACUUGAACUCUCUCACUGAUUAUCUGACGAUUGUAUAAGAUCUGAUAUUCUG